UACGGGGGGAGCAAGCGUUGUUCGGAUUCAUUGGGCGUAAAGGGUGCGUAGGCGGCGCGGUAAGUCGGGUGUGAAAUCUCGGAGCUUAACUCCGAAACUGCAUUCGAUACUGCCGUGCUUGAGGACUGGAGAGGAGACUGGAAUUUACGGUGUAGCGGUGAAAUGCGUAGAUAUCGUAAGGAACACCAGUGGCGAAAGCGGCUUCCUGGUCCAGCACCGACGUUCAAGCACGAAAGCGUGGGGAGCAAACAGG
rnacentral:rRNA from 1 species